rnacentral:rRNA from 1 species
UACAGAGGCUACGAGCGUUAGGCGGAAUCACUGGGCUUAAAGCGUGUGUAGGUGGAUGGGUAAGUACCUUGUGAAAUCCCACGGCUUAACCGUGGAACUGCUUGGUAUACUGCCUGUCUUGAGGCACUCAGGGGCGAGCGGAACAGAUGGUGGAGCGGUGAAAUGCGUAGAUAUCAUCUGGAACGCCAAUGGUGAAGACAGCUCGACUGGGGGUGUACUGACACUGAGACACGAAAGCCAGGGGAGCAAACGGG